GUGGCGUAACCCCGCUCAUUUCUAGGGUUAGGGUUGCGUUCCUGUCCUCGCCUAAGGGUUAGGGUUUCUCCUUAGUCCCUUAGGGUUAGGGUUUCUCUCUCGCCGCGGAUAUGGCCAGGGCGGAGAUCACGAUGGCCAUCGAAGUCAUCCCUCCCGAAGGCCUUCGAAGCCCUUCAAUCCCUCGUCCUGUUGAGUCUCCAUUGCUGCUCUUUGAGAUCUUUCCUUACCCCGCCUCCUUCCCUGUACGCGAUCUUUGCUUUGAAGUGAUAAACAUGGAAGAUUGAUAUUUCCAUGUUUCUGGUUGACGUGUCAUCACUUUUUAUGUAUUAAUUUGUUUAUAGUUUAUUUUUAUUAUGAUCAUCUUUUCAAUGGUCUUUUUUUUUUUGAAAAAAAAUCUCGUAUACUAAUUUCUCACUCUCUCCGUUGUCUGGUAUGCUUUAUGUUCUAACUCCACUUCGUAGUCUUUUCAUGCAUUUCCACGCAACCAGUAACGGUUAAAUUCUAUGCAUUAACAAAUAGGUAACUUGCUUAUUUAACAAUCGAUUUUUUGGUUCUUCAAAAAUUUUAAUACCUACAGAUCGCCUUGGAUCUGUAGGUUGGUACACUUGAGCAUUUUAAUAUGUUUUUUUUUUAAUUUUGCAACAAUUUUUAAUUUUUUGAUAACCCACUUUCUAAUAUUUUUUGUUAACAAUCUUGUAAAUCUUUUUAUUUUCUUUUUGUAAUCUGUUGCCUGUGAUGAUAGCUUAUUAUCAGUACACCAUCUUUCGGGACUGAUUGGUGUAUGUAACCAGGAUGAUAUUCUGCAAUUCUGAGGCAUAUAUGAUUUCCAUCUUUUAGUUUUAUGUUUUCCUUCUUUCUUGUCAAAAUCUCUUUCUUCUUCUUCUUAGUAUUAUUUUUGGCCAAGGAUUACCUGUACCUAUAUGCCAUCUUUCAGGACUGAUUGGUGUUUUGUCCAUGCUGGAGUUCUGCAUUUGAGAGGGAUAUGCGUUUUCUAUCAUAUAUUCUAUUUAUUGUAAAUUGUCCUAUUGAAACUUUAUGUUUUUAUCUUCUUGUAUUCAUUUAUUUUUAUUCUUUUCGCCUAUGAAGAUACUUGAUUCGAAAAUACCAUCUUUUGGGACUGAUUGGCAUUUGUGGCCAUGAUGUUAUUCUGCAAUUCAGAGGCAUAUGUUUUUUCUGUGCCUAGGCCAUUUAUUGCAUCCCAAGGAGUUACUUGUCAUUCAAGACUAAUUUUACCAAGAGCAAGCCUGCUCCAUUUAUCCUCGCUAAUUUUUUUUUUUGAGUCAUGAUGUUUGAGAUUAGAUUUGAAUAGAUUUGAACAUUUAGAUCCAACUAAGAAAUAGGUCAUACUAGUAGUUUUUUUAUUAUUAUUUUUCGGAGAUCAAUGGUGGAGGUGACAGUAUCUAUUCAAAUCUGUGAGCAUUCAGACUUAGAACAUCUCCCAAGGACAAGGGCAGGAGGGGUGCUAAUGAGUAUAGUAGCCAUAAUUACUCCAAUUUGAAUGGGCUAAAGAGUUCAAGCAUGUCGUUCCUCCAACCAUGUAAUUAAUCAUGUCAAUGUGUAUUAACUAAAUGAGAAAAGCACUACAAUACCAAAUCAGACACGCAUAAAACUUAGUAAUAAUUCAUCUACUAUAUUAAAAGAUCUACUUUUGAGACUUCGAGACUUUUUUAACUAAAAACAAAACUGCAAUGUACACGAGGGUCAUGUUCACUUACUGAAUUCUGGUUAUAUGUUAGGUGCUCAAGACAACACUCGAUCAAUGAAAAUCCUAGUGUGAUGCAUUAGAUCAGAGAUGAUUAUGCUGAGAGCAGAUGUGACACAGUAACACAGCUCAGGUGAACCCUUAAUUGAUGCAAUGAGCUUCUUAACAUAACAAUUGCUGUAAGAAAGUGUAAGAAGAAAGUGUAAGCCAUUUACAACAGUUGAACACCCAGCUUUUCAGAUAUUUAUUAGGAAUUUUAGACCAUAAUUUCAUAUUGUUUUAAGAACAAUAUUGGCUUCUGAUUCCUUCAAAAGAAAAAACAAAGAUUUGAAGAUUUGUUGAAGACAAACUAUGAAAGAAUCAGUCUAACAUUGAACAUGUGAACAUCAAAUCAAACAUUGGGAUACAUGUGUUUCACUGCACAUUACAUCACUAAUGAUUGAAAACUUAAAAAGCAUAUUAACAAUUUUAAGUUGGUUCCUUCACCACAUAUGGGUUUAGUCAUUAGUGAUUGUAUAGCUAGCUAUAAUUUAUUUUGGAAAAUUGAGAGAAGGUUGGGUUCAAUCACCUUUGAUAAUUUGUCAGCAAAUACAGUUGUAGUAACAGAACUUCAAAAAUAAUUUAUAAAAGAUUUACUCUUAAAUGGUGAAUUCUUUAAUGUGCGUUGCUGUGCAUAUAUUCUUAAUUUGAUUGUGAAGGAUGGGUUGAAGUAGUGGAGGGUGCUAUUCAUAGGAUCCGCGAGGCUGUUAAAUAUAUAAAAUUAUUUUAAGCAAGGUUGGAAUUAUUUAUGGAAAUUGUGAAACAAUUCAAGAUGAAGGGUAAGAAAAUAUUCGUUGGAAUUCUACGUAUCUCAUGUUAAAUGAUGCUAUACAAUUUAACGAUAUAUUUGUGCGACUUGUGGCCUAGGAUCCUAAUUUUGAAGAUACGCCAACUGAGAAAGAUUAGUCUCAAGGCAUCAUUAUUUUAACUUUUUAAAAGUUUUCCAUCUUAUAAUUGAAAUUUUUUCACAAACAAAAAAUCAAACUGCAAAUUUGUAUUUCUAUGAAAUUUGGAGAAUAUAUAUGUUCUUGAUUGAAGAAUCUAGGAGUUUAAAUGCAGUUGUGAUGAUGAUAGUCUUAAAGAUGCAAGAAAAAUUUGACAAGUAUUAGAAGGAAUGCUCUCAUUGCUAUAGGGGUUGUUUUGAUCCAAGACAUAAGAUGAAGCUUAUUAGGUAUUGCUUUUAGAAAAUCUAUGGUAAUGGUGAUCGUGCUUCAUUUGAGAUCAAAGUAUGUGAUGUUCUUCAAACUCUUUAUGAUAAUUAUACAAUUUUAUAUGAUGCAAAUGUCUCUCAUGUUCAAGUGGAGGAGAUGGUGUCUACAUCCCAAAGUAGAGAAGAUGAGAAUUGUUUUAUGCAUGACUGAAGAAUUUAUCCAAGAAGAAAAAAUUACCCAACCAUCCAAGUCAGAAUUAGAGACCUAUUUGGAAGAAAAGGUAUUUUAUGAUCUCUAAUAUGGAUGCGUACAUUAAAAUAUGAGUCAAUAAUACUAAUAAAAAUAACUUGCCAUGUAAUUUUUUUGAGCAGGUUUAUCCAUUAGAAGAUCAAAAUUUUGAUAUUCUACAGUAUUGGAGAUUCAAUGAAUCAAAAUAUCUAAUAUUGUCUAAGAUGGUACAUAAUAUCUUGAUAAUCAAAAAUUUCUACCUUUGCAUAUGAGUCUGCCUUCAGCACUGUUGGUAGGUUUUUGAUGAUUUUCAUAGUAGUCUAUCUCCGAAUACAAUUGAGGUAUUGAUAUGUACAUAAAAUUGGCUUCGAAACAUCUUGCCUUAUCUUAUAGGUUCAAUUUCUAGAACAUUCAUAAAUUUUAUCUUGUACUAGUGCUUUAAAACUUUGAGAUUUUUAAUUUUGUAUUUUUUUCAUUUGUAGAUGUUCCACCUCCUCAUACAAAAUACAAGGUUGAAAAUUAUGAAACUGCUGUUGUUAUUAAUAUUGAUGAUUAGCUUAUGCUGUUGUAUGGGUGCUUAUUAACUGAAGCCAUGGAGGAUAAAGAUGUAAAGUAUUGUUUCUGCCGAGCAGGUGAUCUUUUAGCUGUGGUCGAAUAGAUUUUUAACAAAUUUUGUAUAGGUAGUUCUACCUCGCAGCAGCAUUCAAGGCAUUUUUGUUCUUUGUAGGUCACUUUAUAUUGAGGAAAUUGUGGUUCAUUAUGCAUAUUCUUAAUUAUGUAAUUCUAAAACUCACUGAACAUGAUGAUGAGGCUGUGAUGUAUAUGCCUACUUGUCUUGAUGUAAACAUGAUGCAUCAUGAUGCUGAAUUACAUGAAGGGUCACGAAGGAAUUACAUGGUAGCAUUUCCUGUUUCCUUUUUUUUUCGUUUCAAAGCUAUUUUACAUAUUUCGAAGACUUGGUGGAAGGUUUAUUGCAAAGAUGGGAAGCUAUUCUGAUUCUUUAUUAAUUACUUGAUGUGAAGCUAUUUUACAUGUUUUGAAAGAGUUGUUCUUCGCAUGUUAGACUUCAGAGAUGGUUAUGCAUUAUGAGAAGAUGUUUCAUUUUUU